UGAGAAUGACAGGCAGCGUCAACGGUGAAUCAGAAAAGAUGAUUUCAACCCACAGCCAAUCAGAAGGAGCUGAGCGCCUCCAAAGCCACUUCAUAGCAGAACUUAUAUUGUUCCUGGAAAACAAGAAUAAGAGAAGGAGCUGAGAGGAGGGUCGAUUGCUGAGUCCCACCUGGGCCCGGUGUGUGCUCCAGUAUAGUUACUCCUAUUGUCAUAAGUCACACUCUGUCUUUGGGCAUGAGGAAAGCUCUGGGAUUCCUUCGUUGUUUUCCACACUUUGUUACUAAAUACUAACUAUACAAAACUGUGUUGUUUGAUUUUAACUUGUGUUCCUUGUAAAUAAAUGAUCAUUAUUGUCAACCA